rnacentral:lncRNA from 1 species
AAUAAUUAAAUCUUCCAAAAAUGAUUCAAAUACAUAAAAAUAGAAUUAUAAUCUACAAACAAUCAUCAAUACACCAAAUCCAUCAAAACCCAAAAGGAACUACUCCAUAGACAUGGAGAAGUUCUUCACAAAUAUAACUAAAGUAUAGAAAAACAUAAAUUCAAUCCAAACCCGAAUCUUGAGUGAGGAAGGAAUGAUGAAAUCCUUAUGCUUGUGUUCUUCCCAAACCUCCUUUGCCUCCUUAGGUCGAAAAUCUGUCAAAAGUCCCCGAAAAUGGUAUUUUUCCGUGUAUUUAAGCCAUCCCUCAAUAAACCCCGGACAAAAUUAUCUUUUUUUAGCGGAAAUGGAAAGUUACUCUAAUAUUUUUGUGCUAUCUCGGCAUAAAUUGCAUUGUCGUGCCGCCCCAUGCAGCGCGGCUGUGCAGUUUCUUCGAGUAAGUUCGUUUCUCCAAUAUUUGACAUUCGGACUUCGUCCUCGACCCCCGAACGCGACCCCGAUUUAAUCACUUGGGCUUCUACUUAGACUUCAAUGCUCCAAAUAGCUCGAAUUAGCUCUACAACAUCUAAAUAACUUGGAAUCACUCCUACACGACAUAAAACACAUAAUAAGUGCAAAACACUACUAAUUAAAGUUCAACAUAAGUAAAGUGCAGUGAAUUAGAAUGCAAUGAGCGACUAAAGUGCAAUGAGCGACUAAAACACAGGGUUAUAAGCCUACCAUCAAGUAGUUGAAAUCAGAAAGCACAAAAUGGGGAUAUUAGUGUUGCUCACCAUUGUUGACUGAGAGAAGCAAAGCUUGAUCGUAAAGAUUGGUAAAACCUGGAAAGAGGAAAUCAAUGUGAACAUUUGACAGUAAGAAAUUUUGAUUAAACAAAUGAAUGUUUUAGUAGUUGCAAUGGGGCUUAACGUUACAGUCAAACAUUAAGAUUAAAUAUGUUUAUAAACCAGUAAAUUAACCCAGUCAUUCGAGUCAAAUUUUAAAGGUAAUGCAUGUAAUAGUUGUAAUCGUUAAAGACAAAUCACAAAACUAAAAUUCUCUAUAAUUGUAGGGAAAACAUAUUUAUUUUGAUUCUCGUCAAAGAAGUAAGGAACCAAAUUUGCAUUUCAGGACAAAUAUUUACUACUAUAAUUUAUUUGAGAACUUAGAUAGGACAAUUUACUUUUUUACAUCUAUAAAGUGGAGGUAAUAAUGUGGAAACAAAAAUAUACCAAGAGUUAAGGAAAACACAAACUGAUCCAAAGAGAAAUUCAACCUUGACGAAGAUGUCAUCUCUGCUCUGCUGCAUAAACUGCACCAAGGCAAGUAAACUGUGUAUAAAUCACCAGAUCGAAUAAAAAUAAAAACAAAAAGUUGUAAUUCAAAAGUGAUAUGUUUUUUCUUGUGGGUUUAUUUAAAAUCUUGUAGACGGGGAAAUUUCCAAAAAAAGAAGAAAAGAGAUAAAUAGUGCAUCCGUGAGCAUGGGGAAUGUUCCACAUCAGAUUUUAUUUUUUAGCUUUAUAAAUAUUUGUAUAUAAAUUAUUGACAAACUUUAAUUAAGCUCCACACACAUGCAAAGAUAAUGUGAACAUUACUGACUUUCCUUGUAUACCAAAAUUUCAUAGUCAACAACUAAAAUUCAAGGGAGGAAGAUAUUAUGUUUCCCGUAAGCAUCCAUGAUAAUUUGGUGAAAGCUCUACUUUCAUAAUCUCAAAUGACCGCAAUUGUCAUUAGGGAAUAAAAUGCCUCACCUGAAGGAUAACUCGAGAAGACGAAUACACUAACCUCGUGGCAAUUAAACAAUUUGUGUCGUGUUGUAUUGGUAGUACUCAAUUAUAAGGGAGAACCAUACAACUAAGCACAUUACCGGUCUAAACUCCAUAUUAGUAAAUUAUAAUCAAUAUUUAUAGACAUAAAAAUAAAUUCAAUGGUCAUCAGUCAUCACUAUUAAAUAAAAAAAUCUUUCCCAACUGUUAAUAAUGACUGAUUGCACUUAACUCCGCCUAUGUCGCCUCAUAUGUGCAUUUUUGUGAGCAUCUUCUUCUCUGGCUUUGUACUUUUCUUUUUCUCUUUUAUUUCUAGCACUAUUUCUGUGGUGUGGAUUUAGUAUUUUAACUACCUUGGCUCAUCUCUUCAUCGCUGCUACAACUGUUGGUGAGUCUUAAUCUUCAUUUUUUUUUUCAAUUUGGUAUUUACAUGGGUGUGGAUUGUAGGGUAGUUAGUUUUCUUCCUCCUUAAUUUUCUUCACCCAUCAAUAGAUUAUAUACACAUAAAUGAUAAAUCUUUAUCAAGUUGAGUUAAGAAGGCAUAAGAAAAUUGCUACUGAUUAGGGAUAAAUAACGACCAAUUUACAGUAGAGCAAUUAAGCAAUCAUUUAUGCCACAUAAAGUUGUGUUGUGAUUAUCUAUAUUACUUAACAUAUCAGAUAUUCUAGCCUUAAUAUUCAUUUGGAAAUGUUAUUGGUUCUCUUCAAAAUAAAAAAAUUCUCUUAGAUAUAAAACAUUCUACAUGGAUUUAGGUUUAAAUUUCUUAUAAAAUUUUAGAAGUUUCUUACUGCAAAUUUUCUUACAGAUUUCAAGUUAGUUCAAGUGCAUGUUCUUGAGAGGAAAAAACAUAAUAGAAUCUUUAUACUCUUGGUUAUCAAUUGUGCAGAAAACAUAAUAGUUAAGGAUCUUCGGGGCUCACCUCAAAUACAGAUGGAGAAGGUCAAAUUGAAUCUGUUCACGGCCUUUUGUUCGUUUGUACUACCAUCUAUCAACCUAAAAGAAAAAUAAAUCAUGCGCUCAACUGAAUUAUGAAACUUCAAGGGUCUAACAUUUAAAAUGCUGAAAAGAUAUGCAAAGAAGACAUAGUUGGUAAAGAUUAACUUUGAAAGGAUUAUAGACAUGCAAGUGUGAAUAAAUUUGCAGCAUUUCCUGAAUCCGUGGGUAAAGUCAACAAUGCGGCAUAUUUUUGAAUACUUCAUGGGCGUCAACAUAAGCAGUUGUUAUCCAAUUUUUCUGCGAUGGCGAAGGAGUAAGUUAAAGACGGAGCAGAAUCAAAAAUCAAAGCGCAAAUAACUAGAAAACGCAAAUUGGAAACUGUGAUGGGGAAAGAAUUUAGAGAUUAGCUAAGGAAUUAAAGUAAAUCAACAAAGAUGAAGCAAAAUCUGUGUAGAAGAGCAAACAGGGAGGAGAAAGAGUAUAGGGAUUUUCAACAAUGGUAAUGUGAUGAUCCGAUAGAUCAU